rnacentral:lncRNA from 1 species
AAAACCCGGAAGGACCCCGCCGAAGGUUUUCUCCGGUUCGGGAGAGAGACGGAGUCCCGCUCUGUCACGCAGGCUGCCAGGCUGGCGUACAGUGGCGCAAUCUCAGCUCGCUGCAACCUCCACCUCCUGGGUUCAAGCGAUUUUCUUGCCUCUGCCUCCUGAGUAGCUGGGAUUACUGGCACACACCACCAUGCACAGUUCCUUGUUCAAAAUGCCAAGAACCUGGAUGACUCAUAGUCAAGACCCUCCACCAGUAACAUAUAUUGGCGAGCCAGCCAGGAGCUUGGAACCCUCGGUGGACAGUGCCUAAGCACAGAGGCAACCACAGGUUUCUAACAGGGCCACUCUCUGGUGAAACUGAAAGGUUUCUGUGUGAAAGUGCCUGACCACCACUGCCCAAUUCAGACCACUACAGGAAACACUCCAUUUAUUCCACCUGACUUCCCACUUGGCUGCAUCCUCAACCAUUGAAAUGAAUUUGACCCUGAUAAUCUAAGGAGGAAACAUUUGAUAUUCUUUUGCAAUAAUACUUGGCCCCAGUAUUGUUUGGAAUCUGGAGUUUGCUGUUGAAUGGGAAAGCAGGAUGACGUUGCAUGUAUCCAGGCUUUGGUGCUGCUGUCCUAAGAAGGGUCAGGCCUAGUCAGCAUAUGGUGCUCUCCUUUGGUGCUAUUUGGCUCCAGUGUCUUUGGAGUCUGAGGAGGUUUGGCCUUUAAAAAUCAAACUGCCACCGGAACUGCUUUAAAAAUGUUUGGUUCACAGCCUUCACUGGAUUACCUAUUGGAGCAAACAAAGUGUAACCAUGUAAAACCUGUGAGCUUGUAUUGAUAUCUCAUGGCUAGAGUUCCAAGCGAAUGGGUCUCAUGAGAUCUGAUGGUUUUGAAAAUGGGAGUUGCCCUGCACAAGCUCUCCUUUUGCCUGCUGCCAUCCACAUAAGAUGUGAUUUGCUCUUCCUUGCCUUCCACCAUGAUUGUGAGGCCUUCCCAGCAUGUGGAAAUGGUCCAGCCUGCAAUAACUGAAGCCCCCAGACCUGGAACCUGAAGAUCCCAUCAGCCACUAAACCUGUGAACCUGUAGAAGACCUGAAGUACCUGUUUAAAAGGCAGCCAAAAGAUAAGUAAAUUCCUAUCAACUUUCCUUGGUGUCCUUCUUGUAUAUUUACUGUAAGCUGGAUAUAAUAGUAGCCAUUUUUAUAUUUUUACAAUUUAAUUGCUUUCUUCCAAAUGGAUUGAAUCACUUCUUUUAAAGUGUUUUAAUUAAUUUUUAUCUAUAGAACAAAAUAACAAAUAAGUAUUUUUUUUUUAUACCAUAAUGGUCACCCACAGCCUGUGUAUACUAAGACCAUGCAUACUGAUAAUCAGCUUUAUUUUACAAAAGAGUUUCGCUUUACCCCUCUGGUAAUUAAUGGAUUCUGGGUAUUUAUUAAAAACUUUAACACAAAGACUGUUAAAUACCACCAGUCCAGCUUUGGCAAGGCACUGUUGGCUUUGUUUAUCUCCAUCAUCAUCCAAACAGACUACCAAUCCUGAUCCCAGCCCAAUCUUGGGCCCUUGAAAAAAUAACUUAACAUCCUAACUACAAGGGAGAAACUCCUUUCAAAUUAAUGAACCUGGCUGACUUAUAUAGCCUUAAAAUUAUGGAAAUGACAAGGGUUACAAUGUCAGAAUGAGCAGUAAACCUUCCCCAGUCCUAUCAGAGCAAACUUUCUGGGGUUGCAUCCCCUCAGAAACCCAUUUGGGGCCCAAUCUCAAUGCACAUAUCAGUGCGCAAAGCACUAAAAUUCCAGGCAACACUUUGUAUUGAGAGAAGCCAAAAUUUUGGUCCCGCCCUGGGACAUCUAAAGUCACCAAUGUAACUACACCAUACAGAUUAAACCCUCACAUGAUCAUGUAAGCUAUGCAGUUACCCAAGCUGCAUCAUUUAGAAAACCUGUACAGUUUUUAUGGAAACCAUCCCUAGUCAAGGACACUUUAAAUAUAUAGUCUAAAUACCGUUAAGGUAGGCCCACUAGCUGUGUUCACAUUUUCCCUUGGCCACCUUACCAGGGACUUUAAUAACUUGGGAAAGUGAAAACAACAAGCUAACCCACAUGUUCACCAUAGAAAACAAUUUUGUCUUGAAAAACAAGGACUCUUUUUCCCGUGUGGGACCAGUUCCUACUUAUGUUUUACCAGCCAAUUGGACUGGAACCUAUACAGUUGUUUAUUUAGCCCCCGAAAUUAAUAUAGCUCCCAACAACCAAUCCUUCAUUAUACUUUUAACUGCAACCACCAGACACAAAUGAGCCAUCCAACUGAUACCACUUUCGGUAGAGCUAGGAAUAACAGCAGGAGUAGGAAUGAGAGUUAGCAGCCUUGCAGUUUCCCUAUCCUAUUACCAAUGCUUGUCCAAGGAUUUUAUGGAAAGCUUAGGUGACAUUGCCCAAAAGUAUCAUCACCUUACAAAAUCAGAUAGAGUCUUUGGCAGUGGUGGCUUUGUAAAAUAGAAGGGGACUGGAUCUCCUAAAUGCUGAAGAAGGUGGCUUAUGUCUUUUUCCUAGAGGAAGAAUGCUGUUUUUAUGUCAACCAAACAGGAUUAGUAAGGGAUGCCACCCAAAAACUAGCCGAUUGGUACCAUAAGAUAUGACAACAGCUGUCUGAGUCAUGGGGCGCCUAGUCAAAAUGCUAAUUUGGGGCUCACAUCUCCUUCCUCUGGCCAGUCCACUAUUAAUUAUUAUACUUGCCUUGGCUUUUGGAUCAUGUUUGUUAAAUCUUUUAACCAGAUUUAUUUCUUCUUGCCUAGAGACCAUUAUGAUAAUGCAGCAGGGCCACCAGUCAGUUUCAGAUAAUGAUGUCAACCCCGGCCACCAAGAAGUAACCUUGUCUCCACUAGACAGAGCAGGUUGCAGGAAUUUAGCCAAUUCAGAGGUCUUGUUCUCCAUAAUUUGGAAUUUUCCUUCGGAUUUGAUCAAGUUGGAUAGAGUUGGUCAAACCCAAUGGGAAAAAGAUGAAAACAACAAGAAACAGAAACAAACAGCAACAACAACAACAACAAAAACAAUGCAUUUAAUUAAAUGAAGAUGAGCUCAUGCUGGAGUAGGGUGGACUCUGAACCCAGUGGGACAAGCGUCCUUAUUAAGAAGAGGGAAAUCUGGACACACACAGAGCAGAGACCGCCGUGUGAAGAUGGAGGCAGAGAUCGGAGAGAUGCUGCCACACGCCACAAAUGCCUGGGGCUCCCAGAAACUACACGGAGCCUCCCCCAGCGGCUUCAGCAGGAGCAUGGCUCGGCCAACACUUUGAUCUUGGUCUUCCAGCCUCCAGAACGGUGAGUCGUUUUCCUAAAAUUCCCUUUUCCACUGGUGUGUGGUGCAAGAUGAGGCACAUUUUCCAUGGAUGGUGAACAGAGGGAGGAGCCUUUUGAUCACAACCAGGUCACCCCACUUCUAAGCCACUGUGCCUCCAGCCCCACAAGACUAAGGAGAGAGAGCGCAGCGUGGUGGAGAGUGAGCUGUGCUGGGACCAUUGUUUCCGUAACCUCGUUUUCUGUGUCCAGCUGACACACCUUCAAAGUGGCAUCAGGUCCUAAACUGUAGCUUGCAAUGUGCCUGUUUCCAGAAACCAAGGUGAAAGUGCUUUUAGACAGUGUUCCCAUGCAAGAGUCCCUUCCCAGCUUUUUUCUGGAAAUGCAUGUUUCUCUGAACUCUGAGUCCCAAGAAAAAUCACUUGAGACACCAAGAAAAUGGGGGAAGUGCUAAAAUUGUGUGGGAAUUCAAGCUUAACAAUAAACAUCAAGACAUUUUUGAUAAAAAUGAAUCCACUGACAUCGGGGAGGAGCAAGAGAACAGCACGCUGACACUGGGUCAGAGGCUAAGACCGACAUUUCUGGGAACCACUCCCGGA